AGCGAACGCUGGCGGCAGGCUUAACACAUGCAAGUCGAGCGGGCCUUUCGGGGUCAGCGGCGGACGGGUGAGUAACGCGUGGGAACGUGCCCUCUGGUUCGGAAUAACUCAGGGAAACUUGAGCUAAUACCGGAUACGCCCUUUUGGGGAAAGGCUUGCUGCCGGAGGACCGGCCCGCGUCUGAUUAGCUAGUUGGUGAGGUAACGGCUCACCAAGGCGACGAUCAGUAGCUGGUCUGAGAGGAUGAUCAGCCACACUGGGACUGAGACACGGCCCAGACUCCUACGGGAGGCAGCAGUGGGGAAUAUUGGACAAUGGGCGCAAGCCUGAUCCAGCCAUGCCGCGUGAGUGAUGAAGGCCUUAGGGUUGUAAAGCUCUUUUAUCCGGGACGAUAAUGACGGUACCGGAGGAAUAAGCCCCGGCUAACUUCGUG
rnacentral:rRNA from 1 species